UAUUGCACAAUGGGCGAAAGCCUGAUGCAGCAACGCCGCGUGAGCGAUGAAGGCCUUCGGGUCGUAAAGCUCUGUCCUCAAGGAAGAUACUGACGGUACUUGAGGAGGAAGCGCCGGCAAACUACGUGGCAGCAGCCGCGGUAAUACGUAGGGGGCUAGCGUUAUCCGGAAUUACUGGGCGUAAAGGGUGCGUGGGUUGUUUCUUAAGUCAGAGGUGAAAGGCUACGGCUCAACCGUAGUAAGCCUUUGAAACUGGGAAACUUGAGUGCAGGAGAGGAGAGUGGAAUUCCUAGUGUAGCGGUGAAAUGCGUAGAUAUUAGGAGGAACACCAGUUGCAAAGGCGGCUCUCUGGACUGUAACUGACACUGAGGCACGAAAGCGUGGGGAGCAAA
rnacentral:rRNA from 1 species